rnacentral:tRNA from 1 species
GUGAGUGUAGCUCAAUGGCAGAGCACCUGACUGUGGAUCAGGGGGUUGAGGGUUCGAAACCCUCCACUCACCCCA